CAUGGCCUGUGGAGAUGGGACUAGAACGCCAAACAGGGGACACCGUCACCCCAGGUGCAUAUAGUGUAAUGCCUGGGGGCUUCCAGACCCCUGAGGGUCACAGUCCUGCCUCAUACUGAAGGCCAGGUGUGAGUUGCUAAAGUGCUAUUUAAUACUAUUAAAACAAAUGUCCAAAAGUAUUUAACUUUUUUUUUUACCUGCAUCAUUAAAAGGUUAGGAUACUUUGUUUCUUUAAAAUCCUGUGACAGGGGCUGGAGUUGUGGCUCAGUGGUAGAGCGCUUGCCUAGCAUGUGCAAGGAAGGCCCUGGGUUCAACCCUCUGCACCACAUAAAAAUAAAUAAGAUAAAGAAAAGAAUUCUGGUUAUAAAAAAGAAAAUCCUGGGACAUAAUUUAGCGUUGUAACAUCCAGUGUGAAGAGCCCAGCACCCCUGCACGGCCGCCUCUGCCCCCCGCCGUCACAGCUCUCUCUCCUCCGCAGGGGGCUCAGGGCCCCCUUCAGAGAUGUUUUUCUGCUUCCUGUCACUGUGACCUCCUUGUGGCUAAGUCUGGUGGGUGUCUUCAGGUUAUCAUCUCACUCCAUUGAUUUCCUGACGGCAUUUAGACUUCUGAAGGUUCCAUUUGUUCUCCUCUUACCCACUGCUGCUCUUUCUCCUCUCCUUUCUGACCUAUAAAAAUAACUUAUAAAUCAGAAAUGCAGAAAAAGGAAGGUUAAAAGCAAAUAAUAUAGAACUGUAUGGAGAUGAAAGCACAGUGCAUCCCCAGGUCCAGCCGCUCACUACCCCUCCAGAGCCACUCGGCCGUCGCCGUUUUAGACACCCGUGGGGGACUUCCGUGGAAUCCACAGACCAGCGCGUUUAAGGAAAAGGAACAAAUUGUGCUGUGUUAUUUCCACGAAAAAGAAUGGGAUUUUAUGUCACUUGAACGGCAAGAGGUGAAGCUCAAGGAGCUGACAAGCUUUAGGUGAUUUCUGAUCGGGAGUGACAGCCGGUCAUGAAGAAGCUGACUCAGAGCAGCCUUCGAGCUGGACCCAGCGCUGUAGCUGCGCCCUCAGCCGUGUGCCUGCGGGGCCUGCGGCAGAACCCCAGGGGCGGGCACUUUCCUCUUGCCUCCAGCCCCCGUCUCAUCCCCUGGUCUCACUUGUGGGACCUGUCUGCCCCGUCACAGCCUGUAGCAUUGCUGAAUGUCCUGAGCUGUGAUUCCUGCACCUGGGGAGGUUCUGGUGCACGCGCUGGGGGUGCUGCAUCUGAGGGAUCCAGGAUCAUCUUGAGCACUUUACUGUGGAUUCUCAUUUCCGUCUCCUGUUUUCCUCGUGGUUGGCAGGGUUUGGUCUACAGAUUGCUGGCUGCUUGGGGACAUCACCUCCAUCUGUGCUCAGAAGAUGAGUGGCUGGUUUAAUUACAGGGCCCACCUUUCUUUCCUGAGAACCCUAUAGCUAUCACCCCGCAGUCCUCUGCUGUGGGGAAAAUAAGCAAAUCUGAGUCCACACAACCUGUUCCGACUUCCCUUUUGGUCUAGUGGCCCUGCAAGUCUCUCUGUACUGUUGACAUUUAGUGAUGUCACCAGGAAUUUGUCUUGAUAGUAAUUGUACUCUUUAAACAUUAUUGGUACCUUGUCCUUGUGUAUCUUUCUCCUAGUCCCUUUCUCGGGCACCAUUGAACUUCUGAGAAUUUUAUGUUGUUUUUUAUGUGUGUUAAGCUGGUUGUUUUUA
rnacentral:lncRNA from 1 species